CGUACCGCAAAAAAAAAAAAAAAAAAAGACCAAGGCUUAAUAGGGCAGUGAAGGUUCAAGGAGUACGUUUCAUUCCCCGUAGAUCUUUGCUAAUUUUGAGGUUCAGAUAUGGAAGGAGUGGGCUCCAAGAACCUGGGGUGGGAAAUUGGGGAUGUGCUAGAUGCCCUUAAAUCCCACAGUGACUCAAAUUUCUGGGCCAGCAGCAGUUGCUUUGGUGCCUCUUAAUUAGAAGAAAGACUUAUACAGAGGCAUCACCUGAGGUAUGUGGCUGAUCAGAUAAUAUCUGCUCUCCAAGUCUGCUGGAAGAAUGAGCUGGCAAACUGCUGGUAAGCCAAAUCCAGCCUGCCAUAUGGUUUAGUAUAUAGUAUAACUCGUGAGCUAAGAAUGGUUUCCAGUUGAGUCAAUUUGGUGGCAGGAAACCCCGAUUAAUUAGAAUCUCUCCCAAAAGAAUACCAUUCUUAUUAGCAGACCUGUAGUUCAAAAUACUGCUCUUAGUGUUAGUUUUAUCCAAAAAAAUUUUGUGAAAACUUCAAAUUUCCCUUGGCCUGCAGAAUUUUUACUAUUUCUAGCCCCUUAAAGGAAAUGACUGACUCCUGUUUCAGAAAACUAGUAUCAGGACUGAGUGUGGCACAGAAGGAAACUGCAGGGCCUGAUUAGUAUGUAUGAACAGGAGCCGUAGCACACAAGGGGAUCUUGAGGAUGCUGGGCCAGAGGGUUGAGUAUAAAACGAUUGAUGUGGGGCAUCUCUUGUGACUCAGGAUGUAAAUUCUAAGCAUUCUUGGAGCCCAUCCUAAUCUAGAGUUGACCCUUGAAGCUUGUAGAUGAUGGCCUAUAGGAGGAAGAGAUGCUGGGUGUUGAGAAAGGGGGUUGGGGGACUCAGGUGGGCAUGCUAGAGAAGAUUAGUAUUUAAGGCCAGAAAAAACACCAGCUAAAAGAUGUUCUCCUGGAAGGAUCCAAGGACAUUCCACUAAAUUCGAUAACGUGCUGGUGAGGCGCACCAGCAUUUUGAGACAUUAAUGGAAGCUCUUGGCCAGGGUUGGCAGUAGGAGAAAAUAGGGGUAAAAGGAUUCCAGAAGAGCAGAGAUCAGGUGGUGGCAAUCAUCAGAUGGUGAGGUAAGCAUAAUUGUCAUGAUGGGCACCAAAACCCGAGAGGCAGGAGGAGCCUUGACCCGGCCAGAUCUGUGGUGAAGGCUGUCAGACCUCUGUGUGUCCAGGGGUCAUACAGGCACAGCUCUGAGGUCUGUUAUAUUUAUUUCCAGAACAGAGCCAGGUCUCAGUCCCAGAGACCAUCAACUGGAGUGGAGGAAGGGCCUGACAGCAUUGCAACAACUAUGUAAUAAAGAUUCUAUACUUCUUCCCCUCUGCGGCCAGCGGUAGGAAAUGACCCGAGUCUCUUAUAUGCUGUUGGAUAGGGGGUCUGAGUUGAUACUGAUACCAGGGGAUCCAAAGUGCGAUCAUGGUCCUUCUGUUAAGAUUGGGAGCAUAGGAAGUCCAGGUGACAUGUUCAUUUCAUUGUGGGUUAAACAGGUUUGCAGACCCCUUAGGUUAUCUCCCUGAGUGAGUGGGAAGGGGUACCCUAGGCAGUUGACAGAUACCCCACACUGGGUCCCUGGCUUGUGAAGAGUCGUCAUGGUAGGAAAGGCCAAGAGGAACCUCUCAGAAGGCAUUCCCCAUCCAAGACAGUGAACAAAGAUUCUGUGAUGUGUGUGCAACGUCUGGGGUUAGGGCCAUGCUGAAACACGUAAUAAAAAGGCAAGCCUAGCACUUUUUAUUUGCCUGCCUGUUCCGCAGAAAGAGCAGAUGGAUUCCAGCAGAUGAUAGCGAAAGACCAGGAACUUAACCGUGUAGUUGCCCCAGUCACAGCUCAGUGCUCAAUGUGGCGUGUUUGCCCGGAUAGAUCAACAAGACCCUGGGACUUGGGAAGCCCCUGACCUAGCGAAUAUGUUCUUUUCAAACAGAGUCAAGCAAAAGAUUUUUUUUAAAUGACCUUAUAACAUGGACAUCAGAACACAUUCCCUGUCUUUUUCCAAGUGUAUAGUAACUCCUGUUCUCUGUUACAAUACAGUCUGGAGAGACAUUGAUCACCUUGCCAUGAUCCACUAUAUUGAUGACAUGCUCAUUGGUCUUGGUGAGGAGGAAGCAGUGAGUACUUGGGAUGCCUUAGGAAGACACCUACCUGUGUGCUAGGGGGUGGAAGAAUUCAGGGCUCUGCCAUAUCAGGGACAUUUUCAGGGUCUAAUGGUCUUGGGCACGGAUUGGCUAACUAGGGUCCAUGGGCCAAAUCUGGCCUGCUGCCUGUUUUUGUAAAUAAUGUUUUAUUGGUACACAGCCAUGUGCAUUCAUUUAUUUUGUCUAGCCUGCUCUUGAGCUACACCGGCAGAUAGAUGAGUAGUUUCAUCAGAGACCAUGUGGCCCACAAAGCCUAGCAGACACUUACUCUCUGAGCCUUUAUAGGAAAUGUUUGCUGACCUCUGGACCUGGGCAGAACUGGAACAUUUCCUCCAAUGGAAAGGUCAAGAUACUGCAUCACCAAGAAAGAGGCAUAACUGUUGGUAGGACCUUUUGGAUUUGGAGAAACCUUAUUUUACACUUGAAAAUAGUGCUCAUACCCAAUUACCAGGUGACUAGAAGGCUGCCUGGAUUCUGCAAGCUGCCCUGCCAUCUGCUACAAAGGACAGAGUAGGCUCCAUCAUCCAGGUAUCUGCGUUCUAAAUGGUUUUGUGUGGUGUCUCUGAUGUCUCACUACACAGUGGCAGCUCAGCCCCUGAGUGGUAGGAAUCAACACGACGUUCUCUGCAGCAGGGAGCCGUUUACUAUUCAAAGCAGCUCCUGGAGCUACUGUGCUCACCCUGCACUGAGUGUUGGCAGUUGCAUCAAGUCCUGAAGCUCUUCUACGGUAUCUCAGUUUUGGUUUUAGUUUUUGUGUAAAAAUUCUUGUACAUUCUGUUAGACUUGUUUCUAGGUAUUUUAUUAUAUUUUAAAUGGUGUCUUUUAAAUUUCUCUUGCUGAGAGUUUGUUCCUGGGACUAGAAAUACAAGGAUUAAAAAAACAAAACAAAACUGGAUUUUUAUAUUGACCUUUGUGGUCUUGCUAAAAUCUUUUACCUAUGCUGAUUUAAAUGUAGAUUCUUUGGAUUUUCUACAAAGUCGUGCCAUUUGCAAAUAAUGACAUUUUGAUUAAUUUCUUUCUAAUCCUUAUGUACUUUUUUCUUUGCCUUGUUGCAAAGAAAGGUAAGUUUAUUUUUUAUCAUUAGGAAAUGUGAUGCUGCACAUUUGGGGUCAGAGGGCAUCUUAUUGAAAGCUUUCAAUAACAUUCCUCCAUUAAAAUACUGGUUUUUGGUUGCAUACCCUUUAUUUAGGAGAUUUCCAUUUACUUAAGGUUUAGUAUAAAUUUAUUUUUUAAUCGCUAGUAAAUGUUGGAUUUUAUUUAAUACUUUUUCCUUCUUCUGUGUCUUUAUUCCUUUUAUCUAUCUUCCAAUCACUCAUUCUCUUCAGCUAAGUCUAAUUGGUUGUUAAACAUCCGUUAUGUUUAAGAACUGAUGAACUUUUAGUUGUAAAAUUUUCUUAAUUUUUUUUUUUUUUACAUAAUGUAGAAAAAUUAAUUUUUUCACAAUUCUGGUGGCAAGAAGCCAAAAUUAAGGUGCAGGCAAGGCCAUUCUCCCUCUGAAGUCCCUGAGGAAGAAUCCUUGCCUCUUCUAGCCUCGGUGCCUGCCGGCAGUCUUGGUGUUCUUUAGCUUGCAGUUGCAUCCUUCCCUCUCUGCCUGGGGUGGCACACGGCCUUCUCCCUGUGUCCAAAUUGUCCUCCUUUUAGGGGGACACCAGUCAUUGGAUUAGGGUCCAUCCUAAUCCAGUAUGACCUCUUUUUAAAAUGAUUAUAUCUGCAAAGAUUCUAUUUCCAAAUAAGGUCACAGUCUCAAGUACUGGGGAUUAGGAAUUGAACAUACCUUUUUGGAGGACACAAUUUAACCAAAAACACAGGUUUAAUUUUCUUCUGAAAAUCUCCAUAUAGCUCAUUCCUUGAACACAUUACUCACAGUUUUUAAAGUCUGAUCGUUCCAACAUCUACAUUUCUGUGUUUAUGUUGUCUGUCUGGCUUAAGUUUGUCUUUUAUGCAUGGAUAUUUUUGGUAGGGUACCGGAUAUUGUGUACUUAAGUUGUAGGCAUAGGAUGACUAUAAGACCUAUGUGUUGUUAUUAUCUGUGAGGGGAUUGGUGGAAGGAAUGCAACCAGAUUUCUUAAAAUUACCCUGAGAACAUGAGAAGCCUAAAAUGACCAAUAUGCAUUCGGUGGGAAUCAUAAAACAACAAUCUGAAAACAAGUAAACCUGUGAGCCCAAACUCAGAAAAUUCUUGAGGUGCCAGUUUGAAUUUACAUUAUUGUAGGGGUAGGAGACCAUAUCAAAUAAAUCAGUAAAAUAUAAGUAGUAUGUGAAUUAGGGCCGAGUACAAAGAGAAGAAGCAGUGAACAGUGAUGAGAGGUCGCAUGUUGGUGGUACAGCUGUAGAGUGGCCCGGCCCGGAGGCCUCCUGAAAGGGCAGGGCCUAAAGGAGGAAGGGAAUUGGUGAUGCAGGGAUGCUGGGGAAUUGGGACAAUGUCCAGCAGAGGGAGGGAAGCGCAGUGCCCUGAGGUAAGGCUGCAGCCCAAGCUGUGUUCAUUAAUACAACACUGCCUGGGACUACUACUCAGCAAAACAAAGUAAUGAACUAUUGGUUCAUGUAACAAUCUGGAGCUCCAGAGAAUUAUAGAAUACUCUGAUUGUAUAACAGACUUUUAUCCUUGAUUAUUUCUGAGUGCUGGGUUAGAAUUUGGUUUACCUUCUAAGUGAGCCAUCUCUGUAAUGUUCCAGUUUUCUGUAAUAAGCAUGAAAGAGGCUUGCAUUCGGAAAAACAUAAGAUUGUUUAAAUAAAAAGUGGGGAGGGAUACAUAGUCCCCAAGAAGGUACAGUCCUUCGGGUCUUUCUCAGAUAGUGAUAAAUACCAGAAAAGGCAGUGUAGCCUAGUCGUUCAGAAAUGGCUCAGAAGUAAGAUGACCUGUGAGAACCUAGGUCUCUUAUGCACAGUGGGCAUAAUAUGAAUCCACGUCACAUAGGCUGCUGGGAAAAUCAACAUGUGUGAAGUGUUUGUAACAGUGCCCAUAAAGUACUAAGUGUUCAAUUACCCUUUGCUUUCUCUGGUUCUUUCCUGGUCAGCCCCUCAUCUAGGAGAUGACAAGAGAUGGGAAUUGAGACAAAGCCAGCCUCCCUACACCCCCAACCCCCUGUUCCCCAGGGAAAACAGGCCCAAGGAAGGGGCCUCUGAGGCACAGCAAGUAAUUCCACACGGUGAAGCCUGGGCAGAGGCUCCUCCCGUCCUAUGACUGACUACCUUUCCCACUCCCUACUCCUGGGAAGGAAGAGAGGAGAGCUUAUGUCCCUUGGGAAUCAGCAGCCCAACUCCAGGGCCCAUGCGCCAGUCUCACAGGCUAACACCGACUCCAUCCUGCAUGGCUCUCUCCUGCCACCUUCCCAUCACAGUCCGUGACUUUUCCCAACCAUGAUUAACCCAGGCUCCCAGAUGCCCUCCAUGAGCCCCUUGCCCCAGCCUUGGUUGGACAGGUAGAAUCAGCCUAAACCACCAGGCAGGAGCCUGUACUGUAGAAAGCCAGGCUCACUGACUUGACAAUGACGGAGCUGCACACGUUGGGGGUAUGGGGGUCGUGGGGCCCUUCGGUUGCUUAUGGGACAUAAGGAAACUGGCGUUUGUUCAGGCGAAAUUGGACAGGCUGUUUGGCAGGCUGAAAGCAGAUCAUGACUGUGUGUAGCUGGUCUCCACCGCAAAGCGGAGCUGGGAAACCAAAACGUUAAGAUGGAUGUGGAAUAUUGCGCCAGAAACCCCUCUUCCGGGGCUGGACGCCCGGGUAGGAAUUGAAGCUGAAUCUCGCGUCAAAGUGAUUUAGGUUACCCUGGCAGCAUGGGGUUUUCUUCUUACUGAUUGGAUUUCAAACAGCAGAGCAUCUCACCGUUUGUGAUGGUAGGAACCCGAGUUUCUAAAAGAAAGCAGUUGUCGGUCACUCAGAAGGGGGCGUUCUGCCAAUAUCGCUUCCGCGUCUGCCACUCUAGCCCCACGUAAGGCCACAGACUUUGCUUUCUUAGGCGGAGCUCAUUUUUACAUUCUCCAAUGCAACCCAUUCACACCAGCAUCCUCCUGUGUCCAAGGAGGAGAGGGACAUGCACCCCACUCCCCAGGACGAAAAGGCGGGGUCGGAGGCCGCCUUUGGGCGGAUGACGCUGCGGCGCGUCCGGGCUACGCCGUUCCUUGGGCUCCGCGCGCCUGCGCUCCUGCCUUCUUCUUGCCGCCGCAUGCGCAGAUCCGGGUCCCUCGAUUGAUUCCCAGCUCGGGAUGGGGCAAAAUUCUCCCUGCAGUGGCCGCACCUGCUUCCUCGUUGAUCUCAUCACCUACGUGCCAGUCACACCGACGUUCCUCUGGUCCUCAAAAGGCAAGAAACCAUUGUUCCCUCUACCAGGAAAGAAGUUUGCGCAGCUGGCCCCUCCCACCAUUCACCUUUGAGGAUUCAGCUCAGAUGUCACUUCUUGACCUGACCACAUCACCCACUGCUGCCCAUGCACCCAGCCGCUGCAGCACGCUUGUUUUACUUUCUUCAUAGCAUGUAUCUGGUUCAGAAUGCUGGGAUCUUAAAGGCCUAAGAGGCCCCCCGUAGCUCCCUGCCACACUUCCCUCACCUACCUUGGACCGUGAGUGGCUGCAAUUUCAGCCAGGUAUCCUGAGUCCCACUCAGGUUCUUGGAGUUCCUGCUGUAGCUCUGGGCCAGCCUUGGAACUGUCCCCUCAUCCUGCUUAUGUGUCCUAUUCAAGGGCCCUAAACAGGAGCCCCGAAGUCCUGGUGGAAACUUGCUCACCUGAGAGCUGAGUGCAGAGAGCUGGUCUGAGGAGGCUCCUGGAGCUGCGUCCAGCCCAGACCUGUUCUCCAUCUGGAAUCGAUUUUGCAUGGUGUCAGGAGUCAAGGUACAUUUUUUUCCCAUAUGGAAAUCCAGUUGGCUCACUAUUGUUCAUUGAAAGAGCACAGACACGCCACUGUGUACUGAUGGAGUUCAUCAGUCAGUGUGAGGGCGCGUUGCCGGAAGAUGUGACUCUGUUCCCCCUCACCCUGAGGACAAGGCAGGGCCACCGCACGAUACAACAACAUGCCGAUCUCCAUGGAUUCCUGAAACACAGAGGCAGGACUCUGGACCCAGAAAUACCUGGCUUGACUCAUGGGAUUGCAGCUGUCAAGCUGCAGGCCUGCGUGGGUGUUGGCAUCUAGAAAACAAGGCUGGUGAUCCUGAAAUUGGAGCCUGUAAAAGCCCUGGUAUUUUGGUGGGUGGACUGUGCUCAUCCCUGUUUGCUUUCUUCCUUUGCAGAGUUCUCCCCUAACUUCCUUCUUCCCUUUUCAUCUGAGCCUCUUCUGUCCCCACACCCCUGCCGGGUGGACCUUAGCAAAUCUCAAGUAUAAUAUCCCGUAUAAUUAACUGUUUCAGCAGGCUGUAUAUAGAUCCCCAGAGCUUAUUCAUCCUGCAUAACGUAAUUUUUGUAAUCGUGUCACCAACAUCUCCUGUCUUCCCACGCAAGU